GCAUCAGUGGUGUAGCGGUAACAUUGGGUCUUCCCAUGUACCAUCAAACAUUGGUUGUAUUGGCCUAGCUCCGGGUUCGACUCCCGGCUGAUGCA